GGGGGUGUAGCUCCGCGGUAGAGCACUCGCUUAGCACAUGGGAGACCCUGGGUUCGAUCCUCAGCACCACAU
rfam:Ictidomys tridecemlineatus contig014193, whole genome shotgun sequence.